UACGUAGGGCGCAAGCGUUAUCCGGAAUUAUUGGGCGUAAAGAGCUCGUAGGCGGUUUGUCGCGUCUGCUGUGAAAGACCGGGGCUCAACUCCGGUUCUGCAGUGGGUACGGGCAGACUAGAGUGCAGUAGGGGAGACUGGAAUUCCUGGUGUAGCGGUGAAAUGCGCAGAUAUCAGGAGGAACACCGGUGGCGAAGGCGGGUCUCUGGGCAACAACUGACGCUGAGGAGCGAAAGCGUGGGGAGCGAACAGG
rnacentral:rRNA from 1 species